rnacentral:rRNA from 1 species
CCGUCCGCACGGCCAAGCCGUCCGGUGGAUGGCUCGGCUCGGGCGCCGAGGAAGGGCGUGGCAAGCUGCGAUAAGCCCGGGGUAGCCGCAGGCGGGCGUUGAACCCGGGAUCCCCGAAUGGGGCUUCCUGCCGGGGCCGAAUAGGCCCCGGCGCCCCGUAGGGGGCGGGAACGCGGGGAAAGGAAACAUCUUAGUACCCGCAGGAAGAGAAACCAACAGGGAACCCCUGAGUAGGGGCGACCGAAAGGGGGAGAGCCCAAACCAAAUCCCUUCGGGAAGACCGAGGGGAGAUGUGGUGUUGUGGGCUCGGGUACCGCCGGCGGGCGGUAGCCGAAGUGGGCUGGAAAGCCCCGCCGUAGAGGGUGAUAGCCCCGUAGGCGAAACCGUCCGUGGCGGAGUCCCGGGAUCCCGGAGUACCUCGCCUUGGUUUUGGCGGGGGAAGCCGGCGGCCACUGGCCGCCAAGGCUAAGCACGUCCCGAGUCCGAUAGCGAACUAGUACCGUGAGGGAAAGCUGAAAAGAACCCCGGAAGGGGGGUGAAAAGAGCCUGAAACCGGACGGCUACAGUGGGGCGGGCCUCGAAGGAUGCCCCCUCCCGAAGGAAACCCCGGUGACGGGGGAGUACGAGGGAGAGGGUCCAGGGUCCGCCCUUACGUCUAGAAACACGGGCCGGGGAGUUCACGGCCGUGGCGAGUCUAAGGGGUUCAACCCCGUAGGCGUAGGGAAACCGACAGCCCGUAGCCGGCGAGCGCCGGCGAGGGGCGGGGUCCGAAAGGGCCCGUAGCCACGGCCGUGAGACCAGAAACCGGGCGAUCUAGCCCUGGGCAGGGCGAAGCGGGGCGAAAGCCCCGUGGAGGCCCGAAAGGGUUCUGACGUGCAAUUCGUUCCCAUGACCUGGGGCUAGGGGCAAAAGACCAACCAAGCCCGGUGAUAGCUGGUUCCCCCCGAAGCGGGUCCCAGCCCGGCCUCCCCGGAGGCCGCCGGCGGGGUAGAGCACUGAUCGGGGACGCAGGGCCCGAAAGGGUCCGGUCCCCGGUCAAACUCCGAACCUGUCGGCGCCGUAGAAGGGGGGAGGCGGGGCCAGUGGGGUAAGCCUCUGGCCCGAGACGGGAACAACCGGGACCGGGGUUAAGGCCCCAAAGUGCGGGCUAAGUGUCAACGUGCAAGGGCGUCCCUCGCCCAAGACAGCGGGACCGUGGGCCUAACAGCAGCCAUCGGCCAAGCAACGCGUAACAGCGGACCCGCCGAGGCGAGGGGCCCCGUAGAUGUAGAGGGACUCAAGCCCGCCGCCGAGACCCCGGGCCUCCGGCCGUUGGCCGGAGUGCGGUAGGGGGGCGCGGCCGUGGGGCAGAAGCCGGGCCGAGAGGUCCGGUGGACCCGCGGUCGACGAAGAUCCCGGCGGUAGUAGCAGCUAAGAGGGGUGAGAAGCCCCUCCGCCGGAAAGGACAAGGUUUUCCCGGCAACUUCAAUAGGCCGGGAGUAAGCCGGUCCUAAGGCGGGGCCUAGUAGGCACCCGCCGAAAGGGAAACGGGUUAAUAUUCCCGUGCCGCGGGGGUAGGUUCUGCGGCAACGCAGGCCCCGUCCCCGACGCCUCGGGAUAGGGCGGGCGGGACCGCCGUCCCGUUUAACCGCUGAAGGCCGGGGAGUGCCGUAAUGGCGAGAACCGGCUGAAGGCGGGAAUAGCCGGGGGUUUCCCCGGUCCGCCCGACUCCUGGGGCCCGUGAAAAGGGGACGGGGAACGAGCCCCCGCGCCCGUACCGAGAACCGACGCAGGUGCUCCUGGGUGGAAAGCCCAAGGCGGCUCGGGUCUACCCCAGGCUAGGGAACUCGGCAAAUUGGCCCCGUAACUUCGGGAUAAGGGGUGCCUGCGGUCUUGGGGUACACCCUCGGGACCGCAGGUCGCAGUGACAAGGGGGACCUGACUGUUUAACAAAAACAUAGGUCCCCGCUAGCCCGUAAGGGCGGUGGGCCGGGUUUAUAUAGGAGACCUAGGUACUGCCGUGGAGGAUGAGCUGUCUAGAUACGUUGCAGCUCUUGCGUUGUUUGACGGAUACUACAGGCUGGAGCCUAGGAGGUGGGAGGUGAUCAUAGCCGACGAAUCUAGGGAGUUCCUGGAGGGGCUGUGCAACGGGCUCCGUAGCUUCGGCGUCUCUUGUUCCGUUAGGCAGUACCGCCGCGAUAAUGCCUACAGACUGCGGAUUUACGGAAAAGAGGCUGUAACCCGCCUAUAUGUUCUUUCGCAGGAACUUCUCAACGACCCCGACGAGACGUUGCUUGCGGCGGCUAUAGACGCCGAGGGCAACGUGAAAAAAUACAGAGGCCAGCCCUUUAGGACGAAGAUCGUGCAGAAAAGAGGGGUAAAGGCAGAUGCGAUCAGGCAGGCGUUGCAGAGGCUCGGCAUAGCGUAUAGGGAAUACGCGUUCUGCAGGGCGGCAAAUCAGUGCGACUACGUCCUUUUCGUGGUCAGCAGCGAGGAGGAGAACCGCAAGCUCUACGGUAGGGUAAAGAUAAGGCAUCCGGACAAACUCCGCGAGGUCCACAAACUCCUAGGUCUCCAACCCCCUUAGUUUUACUUCCAUCCCGGCCCCGCCCCGGGAGAGGGUGUGUACGGGGGCUGAAUCCUGGCCACUGGCGGUACGUGAACCCCGGGUACAACCGGGCGAAGCGCCGCUGAAGGCCGGGGGUAACUCUGACCCUCUUAAGGUAGCCAAAUGCCUUGCCGGGUAAGGGCGGUUGCGUGGAGGAAGGCUUAAAGCCAACCCCCAGUUGCGUCGACGUGGACAUCGACCAGAUUUCUGCCUAUUUACUUGGGUGGAUAGUUGGCGAUGGAGGGCUCUACAAGCUCAGCUAUAGCGGAGGCCGGACGGAAUACCGCGUGGUCGUAACGCAGAAAGACUUGUCUACAGCGACGCGGUGUCUAGCGCCGUUGUUUGAGAGCCUCUGUAGCAUGCUCAACGUGGCCUCCAAGGUGCGCAUUCUCACCGGCAAUACUAGGGUGGAGGUCAGAGUCUCCAGCAAGAGACUAUAUGAGCACUUCACCUCGUUCUUAACAAGACUGCCUGAGUUCACCGAGAGGGAGAGGCGGCUGUUCAUAGCCGGCUUCUACAUGGCUGAAGGCGAAAAAAGCGGGAGACGCGUCAGGAUGUGGAAUAAGGACAUACAGCUGCUCAAGCUGAUAGGUAGCUGGCUGAGAGAAUUCGGCAUCUACUGGGGAUCUCCAAGACAUAGACUCCAUGCCGCUUGUCGUCGAGGUAUAUGCUGAACUUCUCUAUACCGGCAUCUGUUCUUCAACAUAUGGGGGUUGGAAACGACCUGUGAUCUUUACUAGACCUCCACGCGCCGCCCCCCGAGAGUUCCGGCGUGCAUGAAUGGAUCAACGAGGUCCCCACUGUCCCGGCCUGGGGCCCGGCGAACCCACCUCUAGGUGCACAGUCCUGGGACCCCCGACGGGGCGAGAAGUCCCUGUGGAGCUUCACUGCAGCCUGUCGUUGCGGAGGGGCGGGGGAUGCAGAGCGUAGGCAGGAGCAAUGAAACGGGGCCUCCGGGUCCCGUGGAUGCGGUCCUGGAACACUGCCCAUUCUCCGCCCCUCCGCUAACCUGGGGGCGACCCCGGGGACAGCGGCAGGCGGGCAGUUCGGCUGGGGCGGCACACCCCUGAAAAGAUAUCGGGGGUGCCCUAAGCUCGGCUCAGGCGGGUCAGGACUCCGCCGUAGAGUGUAAGGGCAAAAGCCGGGCUGACUGCGCCCUUGAACGCGAGGGGCGCAGGCGGGAAACCGGGGCCUAGAGAACGCUCGUGCCCCCACCAGUGGGGGCCGGGCAUGACAGAAAAGUUACCCCAGGAGUAACCGGCUCGUCGCGGGUGAGAGUUCCCAUCGACCCCGCGGUUUGGUACCCAGACGUCGUCUCUUCCCAUCCUGGGGGUGCAGCAGCCCCCAAGGGUGGGGCUGCCCGCCCAUUAAAGGGGAACGUGAGAUGGGUUCAGACCGUCGUGAGACAGGUCGGACUCUACCUGUCGGGGGUGCUGGCCGCCUGAGGGGAAGGUGCCCUCAGUACGAGAGGAACGGGGCGCCGCGGCCUCUAGUCUACCGGUUGUCCGGCAGGGCACUGCCGGGCAGCCACGCCGUAGGGGAUAACCGCUGAAAGCAUCUAAGCGGGAAGCCCUCCCCGAGACGAGGCGGCCGUUGCCCUGGGGGCAACCCCGGGGCACGAGGGCUCCCGUAGAAGACGGGUUUGAUGGGGGGGCGGUGUAACCCCCGAGGGUUCUCCCGAGGGGGGAGCCGGCCCCUCCCAAUCGCCCGAGCGUGCGGACGG